UCCUCUUUACAGAGGCAGUUUCGCUCGAGUCCCCGGCAUUAUCCGCUGGUAACAAACGAUGAGGGUUGCGCUCGUUGCGGGACUUAACCCAACAUUUCACAACACGAGCUGACGACAGCCAUGCACCACCUGUGCCCCACCCUCGAAGGCGACUCCUUUUCGGGAGCUUGCAGGGGCAUGUCAAGCCCUGGUAAGGUUCUUCGCGUUGCAUCGAAUUAAGCCACAUGCUCCACCGCUAGUGCGGUCCCCCGCCAAUUCCUUUGAGUUUCAACCUUGCGGCCGUAGUCCCCAGGCGGCUCACUUAAUGCGUUAGCUGCGGCACGGAGACCGUCGAUAGGUCCCCACACCUAGUGCCCAACGUUUACGGCGUGGACUAC
rnacentral:misc_RNA from 1 species